GCUACUGAAUCAACGGUGUGUCAUCGUUGAUAAAGUAAGGGAAAAGAAAUGAUACUACCUUACUAUUAGUGUCGUCCAAGUACUCGUGCCAGAAGACUCGGUAAGGCGAGAGACGCAAACGUUAGUCGUCCUAAUCAGGCGUAAAGGGUUUGUAGGCGGUUUUAAGCAUUUAAUCCUUUAAAAUCACAAUUUUAAUAAUAUUAAAAUAAAAAAGGAAGACAAUCAAUUAAAACUAGAAUCAAGAAGAGGUUAAAUUAAAUAAUACUUGGCGUAAGAUUGGUAUCUAUAGAGACCAAGUGGAAUAUUAACGGCGAAGGCUUUUUUCCAAUAAUGAUUGACGCUAAGAAACUAAGGUGAGGAUAGAAAAAAGGAUUAGAGACCCUAGUAUCCCUCACUGUCAACGAUGAAUGGUAGUUACUAGAUAUGUGAAUAUUUGAAUAUUCAUUACCCCCUAAAGGAGGGGUAAUCAAAAAUCUAGAGGCGAUGUUAACACGAAAACCAUUCCGCCUUGUGAGUACGACUGCAAAGUUGAAAACAAAAAAAUUAGUCGGUUUCGGAGCAAACGGAGUGAAGCAUGUUAUUUAA
rnacentral:rRNA from 1 species